UGCUUUAAAGUUAGGUAGUUAUAACGAAUUCAUAAUUGGUUGUUAAAUGAGAUUCUUCAAGAUAAUUAGCUACAGAAAUUGGUAGAGGAAAUUGAUAGAAGAAAUUGGUUUCUGAGGAAUUCAGGAUCCUUUUUACUCGCAACACGAUUGUCACGCCUGAGUUGUCGGGAAAAAAGCCGUGAAAUUAUCGAAACUUUUACUGACACGCGAAGUAUCAUGUAGAAGCUCUGAAAUACGUAACAUCGCCCUGUAUUCCAACAUUCGUAUUUACAUUGGACAGCGAGAGAAAUAGCGAUCACCCUGAAGACGAUUAGUACCGGUCACGAUCUCGGAUGACAAUUACAUGACACGGUGUUCGGACUUUCAUCUUUAUUUUGCGAACCACAUUUCGCGCUUCGCGUAAUAUCUUACGAAACGCUGCUCCAACGGUAUUAUAAAGAAAGAGACUCUUACUGCAGGGCAUGAAGAAUUAACUAUAUAACUCAAAAAUUACAAAGACUAAAUAAAAUUAUUUAGAAGACUAAAGACUAACUGAAAUAAAAAUUUUAACCAAGAAAUCGUAGAUCACUUAUCAAGUGAACAACUUGUAAUUACUGUAUCAUAUAUCGUAUCACAGGAAGUAAAUAGAAACUUGAUAAAGAGAUCUUUCAAAGAUAAAGAUAGAGUUAAUAAAGAUAGAAUUUUUGGAACUGUCAGAAAAGUUUAGUCCUCUGCAAUUUUUGCACAAUAAAAGAUCACCAGAGGAUCCAAUCAAAGGUACCUUUGUACCAAAAUAAUAUUCUUGUAAUUAAAAUAAUUGUUCAAAGUUAUUUCUUGAACACCCAUUUAAGUUAGAAGCUGCGUUUAUCAACCAGAAACAAAUCGUACAUACCGACGACCACGAAGAGGAACAAGGUCGUGGCGAUCUUCAUACUCGCCG